GCGCCCAUUUAUUCUGUUCUUUUUUGACUUCUUUUUUCUCCACUAGGCUUGGAGGCUUCUUCGUUUUCGAAAGAAAAGUCAAAAACGAACGGAAAGCCUCCCAAACGGGAGGCUUUUUUAUA
rfam:Vibrio maritimus DNA, contig: contig00024, strain: JCM 19240.